GACGAACGCUGGCGGCGUGCCUAAUACAUGCAAGUAGAACGCUGAAGGAGGAGUUUGCGUCGCGGGACGAGUUGCGAACGGGGGAGGAACGCGGAGGGAACCGGCCCGGGAGCGGGGGAUAACUAGGGGAAACGAGAGCUAAUACCGCAUAAUAGUAGAUGUUGCAUGACAUUUGCUUAAAAGGUGCAAUUGAAUCACUACCAGUUGGACCUGCGGUGUAUUAGCUAGUUGGUGGGGUAACGGCUGACUAAGGCGACGAUACAUAGCCGACCUGAGAGGGGGAUCAGCCGCACUGGGACGGAGACACGGCCCAGACUCCUACAGGAGGCAGCAGUAGUGAAUCGUCAGCAAUGGACGGAAGUCUGAGCGAGCAACGCCGCGUGAGGGAAGAAGGUUUUCGGAUCGUAAAGCUCUGUUGUAAGAGAAGAACGAGUGUGAGAGUGGAAAGUUCACACUGUGACGGUAUCUUAUCAGAAAGGGACGGCUAACUACGUG
rnacentral:rRNA from 1 species